UAAGGUGAAACCGCGAAAGGCUCAUUAAAUCAGUUAUGGUUCCUUAGAUCGUACCCACAAUUACUUGGAUAACUGUGGUAAUUCUAGAGCUAAUACAUGCAAACAGAGCUCCGACCGGAGACGGAAGGAGUGCUUUUAUUAGAUCAAAACCAAUCGGUGGCGGGUUCGCCCGUUAUCGUACAACUUGGUGACUCUGAAUAACUUUACGCUGAUCGCACGGUCAUCGCACCGGCGACGCAUCUUUCAAAUGUCUGCCUUAUCAACUGUCGAUGGUAGGUUCUGCGCCUACCAUGGUUGUAACGGGUAACGGGGAAUCAGGGUUCGAUUCCGGAGAGGGAGCCUGAGAAACGGCUACCACAUCCAAGGAAGGCAGCAGGCGCGCAAAUUACCCACUCCCGGCACGGGGAGGUAGUGACGAAAAAUAACGAUACGGGACUCAUCCGAGGCCCCGUAAUCGGAAUGAGUACACUCUAAACCCUUUAACGAGGAUCAAUUGGAGGGCAAGUCUGGUGCC
rnacentral:rRNA from 1 species